rnacentral:lncRNA from 1 species
GAUAUGUAAUAGAAAGUUUGAAACUUCUUAAUCCUCUGAUUCGAUCUUCUAUGAAGAUACGAAAGAAUAAAAAUUCGAAAGCUCUUCUUUAUGGUGAUAAUGCCAACAAGUCGGCGCAUUCGUCUUUAUGUUGAUCGUUACAGGCCUCUUGAAUCUUCUCUUUUCCUAUUUCUAUUUCUUUUUUUUUAUUUGUUAUUUUGAUUUGUGUGUAAUGCGGUUUGACUAUUGUAUUGUUUUCUUUAUUAUUGGUAGGAAUUCUCUUGAAGAGACCCUAUGAAUCGAUUGAAACCUCAGAUUCAUACUCAAACCACGAUGAUUCCAUAAAACCUUCAAGCUAAGCCCAAAGAUUCCCUGAGUAAGAACCGUUGGAUCAUCACUUAUUCAAUGAAUAAAUAUAAUGACUCAAAAUCCAAAGAAACAUUUGUCCUUUGGUCAAAAUAAGCAUAAACAGGAGUUUGAAAGAAUAAAAAUCUUUCGAUUUAUAACUUCUAACUCUUUGAAUAUUAAGUAUAAAUCAUAGUUCAAAUAUUUCGUGAUCUAUUUCAU